GUUGAACGCUGGCGGCAUGCCUUACACAUGCAAGUCGAACGGUAACAGGUCUUCGGAUGCUGACGAGUGGCGAACGGGUGAGUAAUACAUCGGAACGCGCCCGAUCGUGGGGGAUAACGGAGCGAAAGCUUUGCUAAUACCGCAUACGAUCUACGGAUGAAAGCAGGGGACCGCAAGGCCUUGCGCGGACGGAGCGGCCGAUGGCAGAUUAGGUAGUUGGUGGGAUAAAAGCUUACCAAGCCGACGAUCUGUAGCUGGUCUGAGAGGACGACCAGCCACACUGGGACUGAGACACGGCCCAGACUCCUACGGGAGGCAGCAGUGGGGAAUUUUGGACAAUGGGCGAAAGCCUGAUCCAGCCAUGCCGCGUGCAGGAUGAAGGCCUUCGGGUUGUAAACUGCUUUUGUACGGAACGAAAAGCCUCUUUCUAAUAAAGAGAGGUCAUGACGGUACCGUAAGAAUAAGCACCGGCUAACUACGUGCCAGCCGCCGCCGUAACAC
rnacentral:rRNA from 1 species